rnacentral:rRNA from 1 species
AAGUAAAAGUCGUAACAAGGUUUCCGUAGGUGAACCUGCGGAAGGAUCAUUACCUAGAGUUGUAGGCUUUGCCUGCUAUCUCUUACCCAUGUCUUUUGAGUACCUUACGUUUCCUCGGUGGGUUCGCCCGCCGGUUGGACAAAACUUAAACCCUUUGUAGUUGCAAUCAGCGUCUGAAAAAACUUAAUAGUUACAACUUUCAACAACGGAUCUCUUGGUUCUGGCAUCGAUGAAGAACGCAGCGAAAUGCGAUAAGUAGUGUGAAUUGCAGAAUUCAGUGAAUCAUCGAAUCUUUGAACGCACAUUGCGCCCCUUGGUAUUCCAUGGGGCAUGCCUGUUCGAGCGUCAUUUGUACCUUCAAGCUCUGCUUGGUGUUGGGUGUUUGUCUCGCCUUUUGCGUGUAGACUCGCCUCAAAACGAUUGGCAGCCGGCGUAUUGAUUUCGGAGCGCAGUACAUCUCGCGCUUUGCACUCAUAACGACGACGUCCAAAAAGUACAUUUUUACACUCUUGACCUCGGAUCAGGUAGGGAUACCCGCUGAACUUAAG